rnacentral:rRNA from 1 species
AACGUAGGUGGCAAGCGUUAUCCGGAAUUACUGGGCGUAAAGGGUGUGCAGGCGGGGGAACAAGUGGGGUAUGAAAUCUCCCAGCUUAACUGGGAUAGGUUAUGCCAGACUGUUCUUCUAGAGGACGAGAGAGGGGGGUGGAAUUCCGGGUGUAGUGGUGAAAUGCGUAGAGAUCCGGAGGAACCCCAGAGGCGAAGGCGGCCCCCUGGCUCGUACCUGACGCUCAGCCACGAAAGCAUGGGGAGCGAACGGG